ACGGGUGAGUAACACGUGGGCAACCUGCCUGUAAGACUGGGAUAACUCCGGGAAACCGGGGCUAAUACCGGAUAGUACUUUGGUUCAUAGGAACCGAAGUGGAAAGGUGGCGCAAGCUACCACUUACAGAUGGGCCCGCGGUGCAUUAGCUAGUUGGUGAGGUAACGGCUCACCAAGGCAACGAUGCAUAGCCGACCUGAGAGGGUGAUCGGCCACACUGGGACUGAGACACGGCCCAGACUCCUACGGGAGGCAGCAGUAGGGAAUCUUCCGCAAUGGACGAAAGUCUGACGGAGCAACGCCGCGUGAACGAAGAAGGUUUUCGGAUCGUAAAGUUCUGUUGUUAGGGAAGAACAAGUACCGUUCGAAUAGGGCGGUACCUUGACGGUACCUAUCGAGGAAGCCCCGGCUAACUACGUG
rnacentral:rRNA from 1 species